rnacentral:sRNA from 1 species
UAACCCCAUACACAGCCGCAGCCCCAGCUACCUAGUGGGAUUGAUAUCGAUAGCCCCUACGCGCUAUUUUCUCUAUUUUUCAGCGAGGAUAUCUUCGAAUAUAUUAGCCAGUCAACUCAUGAAUAUGCUAAGUGGAAACAAGAGUGAGAGGCAGAUCAGAGCGAGAGCCCUGAGAACCAGGCUAGCAGUUGCCGUGCCUGGAAGGGUACUACAGCAGCAGAUGUUAAGGUCUUUAUUGGUAUUCUGAUAUACGUGGGUGUCCACACUUCGCCACGUAUAGACCUCUAUUGGCUCCAGGAUCCCUAUCAAGGGCCAAUUCAUACACCUCGCCUCUGCUUUGAGCAAAUUAAGCGCUUUCUGCAUAUCUCUAGGCCAACUAGCGCAGGUAACCACCAGCCAGGAGAUAAGCGCUGGUGGUAUAAGCUAGAAUCUCUAGCUUCUACAUUCGAGAGAGCAGCUAGGCAGUACUACCAGCCAG